CUACGGGGGGCACCAGUGAGGAAUAUUGGACAAUGGAGGCAACUCUGAUCCAGCCAUGCCGCGUGCAGGAAGACGGCCCUAUGGGUUGUAAACUGCUUUUAUACAGGAAGAAUGUUAUCUACGUGUAGAUAUUUGACGGUACUGUACGAAUAAGGAUCGGCUAACUCCGUGCCAGCAGCCGCGGUAAUACGGAGGAUCCAAGCGUUAUCCGGAAUCAUUGGGUUUAAAGGGUCCGCAGGCGGUUCAUUAAGUCAGAGGUGAAAUCCUACCGCUCAACGGUAGCAUUGCCUUUGAUACUGAUGGACUUGAGUUAUAGGGAAGUAGUUAGAAUGUGUAGUGUAGCGGUGAAAUGCAUAGAUAUUACACAGAAUACCGAUUGCGAAAGCAGAUUACUAACUGUAUACUGACGCUGAGGGACGAAAGCGUGGGUAGCGAACAGGAUUAGAUACCCGGUAGUC
rnacentral:rRNA from 1 species